rnacentral:rRNA from 1 species
GACGAACGCUGGCGGCGUGCUUAACACAUGCAAGUCGAACGGAAAGGCCCUGCUUUUGUGGGGUGCUCGAGUGGCGAACGGGUGAGUAACACGUGAGUAACCUGCCCUUGACUUUGGGAUAACUUCAGGAAACUGGGGCUAAUACCGGAUAGGAGCUCCUGCUGCAUGGUGGGGGUUGGAAAGUUUCGGCGGUUGGGGAUGGACUCGCGGCUUAUCAGCUUGUUGGUGGGGUAGUGGCUUACCAAGGCUUUGACGGGUAGCCGGCCUGAGAGGGUGACCGGCCACAUUGGGACUGAGAUACGGCCCAGACUCCUACGGGAGGCAGCAGUGGGGAAUAUUGCACAAUGGGCGGAAGCCUGAUGCAGCAACGCCGCGUGCGGGAUGACGGCCUUCGGGAUGUAAACCGCUUUCGCCUGUGGCGAAGCGUGAGUGACGGUAAUGGGUAAAGAAGCACCGGCUAACUACGUG